CACCCCCGAGAAGAGGGUCAAAAGCGGGCCACCGACACAUGGAUUCCGAGAACCAUGGGAGGUUCCAGCCCUAGGUCAUCACCGAUGUUCUGACCACACCCUGAUACCACCAAGUUCCUGCUUCCCCGUGUAGCUGCCAAAAGAAAGAAUUUCUAUUGCCCCCCUCCCACUGAUAAAUACUUCUCCUUUUGCUUGUAUUGCCCUACCCCUCCCACUGAUAAGUAU
rnacentral:lncRNA from 1 species